CUCCCAUGUCUUUCUCUUCCUCUGUGGUGGAUAGUGAAGUGUUUCCCAUGUGGUAUUGGUAUGCUGGAUAUCCCUUCACUGGUAGCCUGGUAACAUACACUCCCAGGUCUUUCUCUGCCUCUGUGGUGGAUAGUGGAGUGUUUCCCAUGUGGUAUUGGUAUGCUGGAUAUCCCUUCACUGGUAGCCUGGUAACAUACACUCCCAGGUCUUUCUCUGCCUCUGUGGUGGAUAGUGGAGUGUUUCCCAUGUGGUGUUGGUAUGCUGGAUAUCCCUUCACUGGUAGCCUGGUAACAUACACUCCCAGGUCUUUCUCUGCCUCUGUGGUGGAUAGUGGAGUGUUUCCCAUGUGGUGUUGGUAUGCUGGAUAUCCCUUCACUGGUAGCCUGGUAACAUACACUCCCAGGUCUUUCUCUGCCUCUGUGGUGGAUAGUGGAGUGUUUCCCAUGUGGUGUUGGUAUGCUGGAUAUCCCCUCCCAAGGUGCAGGAUUUUACAUUUUUCAUUGAAUUGUAGCAGCCACUUUUUGUUCCAUUCCUGUUGCUUGGUGAGGUCUUCUUGUAGGAAAUCUGAAGUCAAGUGGUUAAUGAUUUUACCGCAGGGGUGUGGAGUCGGAUAAAAAGGCCUUAUAAGCCAUAUUUUUAAGGAUAUCAGCGGACCAGUUCCCCCAUUUGAAAAGCCUCUCAUGGUAGAGGAGAUGGCGCCACUAUAAACACUUGCCUGCGCCAUGACGGGCUGGGGCUGACUACAUUCUAGACUCCUCAAGAAAAGCCUACCGGCGCUAUAGAUGUACACGUAAAAUUACUG